rnacentral:rRNA from 1 species
AUGUACAAGUUGUACAAGAGCGAGCUGGACGCCAUCACGCCUGAGCAGGUGGAAUGGGAGCCGUAUGGAAAAGGAGAGAGUUUUGGUAACCCUAUAGAGUUGGAUAGGAAAAAGCAGCGGAAGAUUAAGGAUUGGGCCAGCCAUCACAGGAAGUAUGUCGUGCAGUUCGCUCUUAGUGUGGAGCAAGCAAGGGCUGGAAAACGAGCCCAGCUUCGUGAGCACUGCCCGGAUGCGUUCAACAACUAUCUCACAUGGUUUCUUGCAAGUACCCGCGUGGAGGUAUGCCAGCCCGCGUAUGCUGAGGAGAUUCUGGAGGAACCCACCGUUUUUGAUGAGAUCAAGAAAGCAGCUGACGAGACCGAGACUAUUCUGGAAACAACCCCGGCUGGCAAAAGCGAUGGGGAAGGUGCACUUCGAGAAUUCAUUAAGCGCCAGGGCCAAAAGUUAAGGCGGCUAUCAAACCUUUUCGGUUGUCGUGACCCCGAGUAUGUAUCACCUGCACGGUCUAGGUCGGCGACACCAUCAGAUCCCGCUUCGGGGCAGAGCCAUGGUGAACCUUUCACGGAUGAGGAUGUGGGUGGGGUCACCCAAGAGGUUGCUGAUGAUAUGACCUUGGGGACGUACCGGGCUCGGUCUGCAUACGAGUUGAAGCCUAGGAGGGCAAUCAACAAGUACACACCUGAAGACUUCACCCAAAGAGGCAAAAGGACGGUGGGCACCUCGCGGAUGGCGGCUUUGGAUGACUAUUUGGAUGACGAUGUCGAACCGGAGGCGGAGCCGGAGCCGGAGCAUGUUCCUCUUCCUAGGAAGGUGAAGAAGAUAAGCGUCAAGAGGGGGGAGGACCCAGCAAGCGUGGAAAGCACUAGUCAUCUUAGUUUUUUUAUAAUGUUGAACUUCGAGUGCGAUUUGUUAUGUCGUUGA